ACCAGACUCCUACGGGAGGCAGCAGUGGGGAAUAUUGCACAAUGGGGGGAACCCUGAUGCAGCGACGCCGCGUGGGUGAAGGAGUACUUCGGUACGUAAAGCCCUAUCAGCAGGAAAGAAAAUGACGGUACCUGACUAAGAAGCCCCGGCUAACUACGUGCCAGCAGCCGCGGUAAUACGUAGGGGGCAAGCGUUAUCCGGAUUUACUGGGUGUAAAGGGAGCGUAGACGGCAUGGCAAGUCAGAUGUGAAAGCCCGGGGCUCAACCCCGGGACUGCAUUUGAAACUGUCAGGCUGGAGUGAAGGAGAGGUAAGUGGAAUUCCUAGGGUAGCGGUGAAAUGCGUAGAUAUUAGGAGGAACACCAGUGGCGAAGGCGGCUUACUGGACUGUAACUGACGUUGAGGCUCGAAAGCGUGGGGAGCAAACAGGAUUAGAUACCCGGGUA
rnacentral:rRNA from 1 species